UACGUAGGGUGCGAGCGUUAAUCGGAAUUACUGGGCGUAAAGUGUGCGCAGGCGGCAGAGCAAGUCGAGUGUGAAAGCCCCGGGCUUAACUUGGGAAUUGCGCUCGAAACUACUUUGCUGGAGUGUGGCAGAGGAAGGUGGAAUUCCACGUGUAGCGGUGAAAUGCGUAGAGAUGUGGAGGAACACCAGUGGCGAAGGCAGCCUUCUGGGCCAACACUGACGCUCAUGCACGAAAGCGUGGGGAGCAAACAGG
rnacentral:rRNA from 1 species